GACCUCGGAUCAGGUAGGAAUACCCGCUGAACUUAAGCAUAUCAAUAAGCGGAGGAAAAGAAACCAACAGGGAUUACCCUAGUAACGGCGAGUGAAGCGGUAACAGCUCAAAUUUGAAAUCUGACCUUCACGGGUCCGAGUUGUAAUUUGUAGAGGAUGUUUCGGAUAAGGCUUUGGUUUAAGUUUCUUGGAACAGAACGUCAUAGAGGGUGAGAGUCCCGUCUAGAACCGAUAGCCGCGUUCAUGUGAAACUCCUUCGACGAGUCGAGUUGUUUGGGAAUGCAGCUCAAAAUGGGUGGUAAAUUUCAUCUAAAGCUAAAUAUUGGCCAGAGACCGAUAGCGCACAAGUAGAGUGAUCGAAAGAUGAAAAGCACUUUGAAAAGAGAGUUAAACAGUAUGUGAAAUUGUUGAAAGGGAAGCGC
rnacentral:rRNA from 1 species